AGGGGGAAAAAAGAAAAAAAAGAGGAGCGAACUCUAUUAUCCCUAACAUUUUACAUUUACCAUUAUGUUCAUUUAUUCAAUCCAACCCUUUGUGUUUAAAUUACCCUUCUCUUUCGCUUCAGAUCUCAUCAGUACAUGAAGGUCUUUCAAGAAGUUUUAUUCAUUCCUUUUUUGCGAAGAAGUAAAUCUGAAAAGACUAAAAUUGGGUGGAGCUUUUGGUUGGCAACCACAAGUAGUUUCCUCUUUUUGAUGUCAAAUUGCUUUCCUUUCUAAGAAGCUAGGGCUUUCUAGGUGCCAUUGAAGCCACAGAUGUUCUCUUCCACCAGCAGUACUAUCCAUCUUUUUCAGAGCCUUUCCUCUUCUCCUUUCAACCCUCCUCCUUACAUUACUGACCAUGAAACUACUGACAUUUUCCAUCAACACCACCACCACAUUGAUCCGCUCACAAUUCCUUCAGUAUCAACCAACCCAUUACCAGUCACUGAGACCGUGAUGAACAUGGCAGCUUCAAACAACAGCAUGAUGUCUGAGCGAGAUGUUACUGCUCUCGAUGGAGAACUAUAUAAUCGUUCUCAUUUUCUUGCUGGGAAAAAAUCUGUGAAGAAAGAUAGGCACAGCAAAAUCUACACAGCUCAAGGCUUGAGAGAUAGGAGAGUGAGAUUAUCCAUUGAAAUCGCGCGUAAGUUCUUUGAUCUCCAAGAGAUGCUAGGGUUUGAUAAAGCAAGUAAAACCCUAGACUGGCUUCUCACCAAAUCAAAAUAUGCCAUUGAGGAACUAGCCAAGAAUGGAGGUGAGAAAUGCUUGUCUUCUACUUCUACUAAUUGUGAAGUUGUAUCCGAAAGUGGGGACCUAGAGGACAGAGUACCUUCAGAGAGUCAAAAGCAAAAGAUGAAGAAGAUGCAAAACAUGGCAGUCGAUCUUCUUGUCAAAGAGUCAAGGGCAAAAGCUAGAGAAAGAGCUAGGGAAAGGACUAGAGUGAAAAUGUGUACUAGAAGGCUCCAUGAGACAAAAAAAUGUCCUGACUUUAGUUGCUUGAAGCAGCCAAGUCCCUUGAACCAACAUCAAUCAUGGGAGAAAUCAUCCUCUUACAAUGGCACAUCCUCCAUGAAGGUUGUUGCUCGUGGUCAAGUUGAAGAUCCAAGCUCUCACCACUCACUUGCCAAUCAUUCUCCUAAAGGAAACAUCAUCGAAGAAUCGAUAGUGAUGAGGAGGAAGUUGAGGCCAUCUGCAACAAUGGGUUAUCAGCAAAACCUUCUAAUGUUAAAAGAAGCAAGUUGCAACAACAACAGCAACAGCAACAGCAGCUACUUACCCAAUUUAGCCCAAAAUUGGGACAUUAGCAGUGCAAUUGCGCACUCCAGCUUCCGUCCUUUUACCACCAUGAAUCCGUCUACAGAAAUACAACUGAAUGGAAAACUUUGGGGGACUGGGAACAAUUGAUGUCAACAGUAUUGUAUAAGAUGGUGUUAUGAACAAUACUAUUUAAAGAUAUAACAACUCAACUUAAUGUUGGCAUACAGAUCCAGUUUUGUUUGAGAAAUAUAGCCAGUGGACAAUUUCUAGAGAAAACACUCUUCUGCACAGUUGUAGUCGUCAGAUGUUUGCUCCUUCAUCAACCGUUAAAAUGGGUUGUAAUUUUGAUUCAUUGUCCAUCCAGGUGUUCUCUAAAGUGUUAACAGUGGAGAUCAAAAACAAACAUUUCAGGCAGAUAUUGUUCUUCCUUAACAAUAGAUAUGUAAUCUUUAAGGUCAGUUUGGUUAAACACCUUGUUCUGGUAAUAUAACCGUUGGAUGAUAUUGAUAUUUGAAUAUGUUAUGAGUAUUAUGAUGAA